GACAGAGGUGCCGAGCGUUAGGCGGAAUCACUGGGCUUAAAGCGUGUGUAGGCGGUCCGUUAAGUGCCUUGUGAAAUCCCCCGGCUCAACCGGGGAACGGCUGGGCAGACUGGCGGGCUUGAGCCACCUAGGGGCAACUGGAACAAGCGGUGGAGCGGUGAAAUGCGUAGAUAUCGCUUGGAACGCCAACGGUGAAAACAGGUUGCUGGGGGUGUGCUGACGCUGAGACACGAAAGCCAGGGGAGCGAACGGG
rnacentral:rRNA from 1 species